rnacentral:tRNA from 1 species
CGGGGCGUAGCGCAGCCAGGUAGCGCGCCUGCUUUGGGAGCAGGAGGUCCCGGGUUCGAAUCCCGGCGCCCCGA